AUGGUGUGGUGCCUAUGAUUUCAUUCCAUAGGAGAAUAGGAAAGCGAGGUGUAAUUCCUCCACGGUCACGCCGCUGUAAAAGAUGAGUUUCCCUCUUUUUGUGUCACUGGAUGUUCCAUCUGGGAAGGCCGAGGGAAAUGUUGACACUUGAGUCAGAAGACCUGCCCACCAUA
rnacentral:ncRNA from 1 species